GUAGCGGCGAGCGAAACGGGAAAAGCCCAAACCAACAAGCUUGCUUGUUGGGGUUGUAGGACUCCGAUAUGGUAGUCUAUUCAGAUAGUCGAAAUACUUGGAAAAGUAUGUCAAAGAGGGUAAAAACCCCGUAGGCGAAAUUUGGAUAACACCUAGGAGGAUCCUGAGUACGGCGGAACACGAGGAAUUCCGUCGGAAUCCGGGAGGACCAUCUCCCAAGGCUAAAUACUCCCUAGUGACCGAUAGUGAACCAGUACCGUGAGGGAAAGGUGAAAAGCACCCCGGAAGGGGAGUGAAAUAGAUCCUGAAACCGUGUGCCUACAACAAGUUAGAGCCCGUUAAUGGGUGAUAGCGUGCCUUUUGUAGAAUGAACCGGCGAGUUACGAUAGCAUGCGAGGUUAAGUUGAAGAGACGGAGCCGCAGCGAAAGCGAGUCUGAAUAGGGCGAAUGAGUAUGUUGUCGUAGACCCGAAACCAUGUGAUCUACCCAUGUCCAGGUUGAAGGUGCGGUAAAACGCACUGGAGGACCGAACCCACGUACGUUGAAAAGUGCGGGGAUGAGGUGUGGGUAGCGGAGAAAUUCCAAACGAACUUGGAGAUAGC
rnacentral:rRNA from 1 species